rnacentral:lncRNA from 1 species
CUAAAGGCAUAGUAUCAUGGCAGGUCACCUGUCAAGUCACCUGUCAGGUCAGUCAGUCACUUAUUGCUGCAGAUGUGCUCAAUAAUGCUUGAGCAUGUGAUACUCCUCAAAGCAUGGUGAAAUACAUAGAGGUGUAUCACAAGCUAAACACAUGUAUUUUGUCAUCUUCCUCUGCUUACUUCUCCUGGCGCCAGACAGGCAGACUUUGCAGUGCCUCCGUGUGCGACUACCUUGAGCAGCAGUUUGAGGGACUUUGCAGGGAAAAUGCCGUGCAGUGAGGCGUAGGGGAUUGUCUACAGCAGGGCGAGUCCAGUGGAGGGGCGCCGAAGGGUGUGGUGCUCCUCCAACAGCUCUCUCAUGAGGUUCUCUCUGUAUUUUUGCUCCAAGGCAUAGCGAUUGGUCUCCUGUACUAUGUUU